AACGUAGGUUCCGAGCGUUAUCCGGAUUUACUGGGCGUAAAGCGCGUUCAGGCGGUUUGGCAAGUCGGGCAUGAAAUCCUUCGGCUCAACCGGGGGAGGUUGUCCGAUACUGCUGAACUGGAGGGCAGUAGAGGGUGGUGGAAUUCCGGGUGUAGUGGUGAAAUGCGUAGAGAUCCGGAGGAACACCAGUGGCGAAGGCGGCCAACUGGGCCGGACCUGACGCUGAGGCGCGAAGGCGUGGGGAGCGAACAGG
rnacentral:rRNA from 1 species